GAUGUUAGCGGCGGACGGGUGAGUAACACGUGGGUAACCUGCCUGUAAGACUGGGAUAACUCCGGGAAACCGGGGCUAAUACCGGAUGGUUGUUUGAACCGCAUGGUUCAAACAUAAAAGGUGGCUUCGGCUACCACUUACAGAUGGACCCGCGGCGCAUUAGCUAGUUGGUGAGGUAACGGCUCACCAAGGCAACGAUGCGUAGCCGACCUGAGAGGGUGAUCGGCCACACUGGGACUGAGACACGGCCCAGACUCCUACGGGAGGCAGCAGUAGGGAAUCUUCCGCAAUGGACGAAAGUCUGACGGAGCAACGCCGCGUGAGUGAUGAAGGUUUUCGGAUCGUAAAGCUCUGUUGUUAGGGAAGAACAAGUACCGUUCGAAUAGGGCGGUACCUUGACGGUACCUAACCAGAAAGCCACGGCUAACUACGUGCCAGCAGCCGCGGUAAUACGUAGGUGGCAAGCGUUGUCCGGAAUUAUUGGGCGUAAAGGGCUCGCAGGCGGUUUCUUAAGUCUGAUGUGAAAGCCCCCGGCUCAACCGGGGAGGGUCAUUGGAAACUGGGGAACUUGAGUGCAGAAGAGGAGAGUGGAAUUCCACGUGUAGCGGUGAAAUGCGUAGAGAUGUGGAGGAACACCAGUGGCGAAGGCGACUCUCUGGUC
rnacentral:rRNA from 1 species